rnacentral:lncRNA from 1 species
AUUUGUAUAAAAGCAGUUACAUCAUUAGAUGUGAGGUCAGGGGCAAGUCGAGAGACAAAAACUUGCCGCUUUGGUGGGACUCCCACCAGAGGUUUUGGCACCACAGAUCUGGUACCUGUGACGGCAAUAUCCGGUAGUCCGGGACGUUUAUUAACUGGUGGGAUCGAAAUAGAUGGGAUGGGCUUUGUAACGGACUCGACAGACACGGACGCUACAGUACUAACUGGCUGCAUGUUCUCCGAGAUGAUCGAUUCGGUAGCCGAAACUUAAUCACCAGCAGUUGUCGUUGCCCUUGGAGUGGCGAACGAAAUUAGC